CAUAACCCCAGCAACCGAUGUAUCAUUAGCAACGAUGUUCACAGAAUCAGGAUGGGAAAAGGUAUUUAAACUAGUUUUAACAGGAAGAGGAGGAGGUGGUGGUGGAGUUGGAUGUGUAAUUAUCGUUGGUAAAGAAGUUGCAUCAUUAGGAAUAUCAAAGUUCGUAAUUUUACUAUUGUUGCUAACUGUUUCUGCUUUGUUCUCAACGCUAUUAAUCUCAUGCGUUUGAUUUGAAAUAUCCUUUAUUACGACGUUUGACUCAAUACCCUUUCCCGGAAUCUCCAAGUUCGCAAAGUCAUCAAUUCCUUUCAUACUUUUGAUGGACUCAUCCUUUUCACUGGUUAACGAUUCAGAAGCUGAACGACCAACAUAUCGAUGUAAAUGACGAGGGAAUGGACGAUGAAAUUUUUUAUCAGGAAUUUGUAAAAUAGUUGACACAGUUGAGGGCUGGCUGGACUGUCGAGACAUUUGCUCCCUUAGAUCCCGAAGUUUGUCAUCAAUUCCAUCGUUUGACCAAAGUGUUGACUCUGCAGCAAUUUCCUUUUUCCUCAAGUCAAGCUUAUCCAACAAAUAUUCUAUAAUCCUUUCCUUGGAAUUAGUUGAGCCCUGAAAAGAAUCCGAAUUGAUAAGAAGAUACAAUUCUCGUAAUUCCACUUCGCUCCUUUGGAUUUGAGUAACAUGAGACUUUUGGAGAGCAUCAAUUUCUGUUUUUAGAGUCUCAUUCGUUCUUUUCUGAGAAAGAAUAACGUCUUUCUGAUCCUCUACUUCUUUGUUUAACUUCGCAAUUAAGUCUUCGGCACCCAGAUUUACUUGCGCAGCCAUUGCAUCUCUUUCAAUAACCAUUUUCUCAGCCAUUGCACGUGACGCCUUUGCUUCCUUCAAAGCAUUUCUGGCUGUGUCAUCCGAAUAGAAUCUUUCGGUUAGCAUAUUUAAAGAUGCCUGUAAACUAUCUUCAAAACUUUCAUUGGAUACUUUUGAAUUGAGCAGUAUUCUUUGAAGUAAAGAGUUAAAAACCUUGAUAAGUUUCACCUUUUGCUUUUCAGUACCUUUGGCAAGUAGUAUGUUUUGAAUAGUUGAUUCAAGUAAACGGCCAACUUCAUUUGAUGCAAAUUCAUUGAAGCUACUUAAAAUUGAGGAUUCAUUUGACAUAAAGGAAUCGACAUCUUCAUGCGUGGUCUGACUUAUAGUCCUCCUCUCUUCUUCUGAUUCAUAUAUGUUUAGUUGUUUCUCAAGUUGUUGGUCAGGAAAGUUACGUAGAAGUUGUAUAACUUCGUGUAUACCUGAUUCACGAAGGGAAUCCAAUAUAUCAAGGUCAAAUCCUUGCUCCAAUUCUUCGCAAGCAACAAUUAGCUGAUUGAUAAAUUCCAUAGUGGAAGUACAAUACUCAAGAAACGCUAUGUUUGAAGGUGAGCUGGAAGCAGAAUUUCGAGCAGGAGAAGAUGGAGGGGUUCGUGCUAAUUCUUUUUCCAAGAUUAUGUCUUUGAAAGAUUUUAUCCAUCCAAAGAAUAGCGGAACCUCCUUUUCAUAUUCGGCAUUUAUUUCUUUAAAUCCAGUUUCCAAUAUGGAGACCACAAGAGGUUCCUUUAAAGACAGAACCCAUGUCAAUAAAUCUGCGGCUACUUUCCUCGGAAGCAAAUUUGGGGAUAUAAGGGUCACUGUUAUUGCUUGAAAUAUAUAAGAAUUGGAAGUAACCAGAGUAGGUUUUUUCUUCAAAAGAGUAAGCAUGCAACGAGGAACUUCAGCUUGCUGAGGCUGCACUACGGCAGACGAAUUAAAAUAUGUAAGUAGAUUAUGCAAAGCUCGAAGUCCCUGCAGUUCAAGAAAAAGAGAUAUCCAUCGAUCGGAUUGAGUUGAUAAUAAAGAAGAAAGUGUGAUAAGUUGUAAAUUACUAAUUGUUUUAUUCCAUAGUUGGAUUACGAACCAGGAAACAGGUCUAUGGACGGCAGCUAAUUCUGGAAUUUGGAAAGAAGGAUCAUCAAACCCGGCGAAGUUAGAACGAAUAAAACACCACUUUUCAUCUGGAGUACAACUUUGAAGCAUUUCAAUGGCGUUUUCGUCAAAAUCAAAUACAGGGUGUCUUAAAAAAUCGUUGAAUAGAUGUAUUAGCUGAUCCAAUGAAGGUGGUCGAGUACUCGGAAUUUCAAACUGAAACGAGCAUACCGAAUUAGGGCUCCCAGCUCGAAUUGAACGUAGUCGAUAAACUUGUUCAUCAUUAGUAGAAGUGAAUUUUGGGGAAACCUCGUUGGUAAUCUCAGGGACUUCAACAACAGGAGCAAGUUUAUGCUUAGUUCGCCUUUUUGUCUUAGAUACUGGAACUGAGGGAACAGGAGGUUUCGGCAAAGGAUCAAAAGAGCGAGAAUGUACAGGGGGUGUCACUGGAGCAAUUUGGACAUCCUCAGAACUUUUAAUAAUGUUUUUGGGCAACCUAGGACCCUUGAGAUGUUUAGAAGUGUGCAAAUGUUCAACGGAAGACGAAGAUGGUAGAUCAGUGACUUCAACUUUAUUCGCUUUGGGUCGAUGGACAGUAGAUUUCUCGGGUGUUUUAGGUAAAGGAAGCUGGGAAUUUUGCAAAGCAUGUUUAUUAUGAGAAUUGUACUCUUUCGAUGAAAAGGUAAAUUGCUUUACAUACGGAGAAGUAACUGAUUGGGACUUAUUAGGCUGGAUUAACGUCGAUACUGAUUCUAUGGAUGAUGGAGGUUUAUGGUACGUUGUUUUGGACUUAGGAGCCCUUGGCCCAAUAGUUCUUCUGGCUGAUGGAGUUGGAGUAGACAGAAUAGAGUCAUAAGAAAAAUUAGGGUCCUGUCCCUUUGACGAAUUUCGCAUCUCUACUUCAUAAACGAAUGCAGCAUUGUAAUUGCUUUCAGGAUCUUGUUUUCAAGUAUUAACAAGGAAACUGUGAUGAAAAGUUUUAGCUCAAUUAAACCUUUUUUUUAAAUUUGCUAAAAGUUGAUGUUCAGAACUUGUUGACCUUCAAAUUUGGAUAAAGUGGAACACUUAGCGAGUAAGGGUUGGGAUGGCUUAAAUGAUCUAAGAUAAUACGUAUACUUGCGAACAAGUAAGUUGAAAGGAAAUGAAACUUCGAUAUAUCUAAUAUUAUAAUGGUUAAAUUGCGUUAUAGCGUAUUAAAUUUUAUUUUUAGGAUAAUCGAAAUUCUCGUCUUGUAAGUCUAGUCUGCAUUUGGAUGCGGUUUCUGGUUGCUUAAAACGUUGUUCAAUGAGAAAAUACAUUCGUGAAGAUCAUUUUUACUUACAAAGCAUUCGUAACAUAUUUUGUUGUCACGUUGAGCUAAAUAUAACCAGAAAUUUGCAAAUAAACGAGAAUCACAAGAACGAAUCCAUUGGUGCUUUUAUUUACAUACCAUAUUAAAUUACAAUAACGAAUUUUCACAAUUCGUCCCUAAGUGUUCGAGUUAGAAAUUAAAGAAACCUAUACGAUGCGCUGUAUGUAACGAUAAGUUUUUAUAAUGUUGAAUUGAUUUCAGCUACUAGCUUUAAUUCUACCAAGCGCUUUUUGAACAGUUUAAUUUUUAAAGCUACAAUCCGGUUAGAAACAUAAAGAACAUGUGAUGGUUAUUUAAUUAGACUAAAUGAUAGUUCUCAAACUAAAGGCGAGUUGCUUAGGAUAGUGCACCUUAUUGUCAGGUCAUUCCAAAAAUAAUUACUAAAGGAAAAACCAGAAAAGGUGAGCUAACUCAAAGUUGUAAAAUAAGUAAUUAUGCCUCUGUACUGACAAAUGUCGAACUUCUGGGUAAGAUGGGCUUAGUUAUUAACAAACGAGGUUGAGAAUAACACAUACGUAGUAACAGCAUUUUCAAAGAAACAAAAAGUCGUUUUGAUCAUUAAUACGCCAUUAACAGAUACCAAUGAGAGUAAAGUAAAGGUAUCGUUGUGUCAACUAAAACUUCUUUCUAGUGUGAUCAAAUUUUGACCGUAGCAAUGAGCCGGAAGGUGUAGAGGAAAGAGGUUUCGUGGUGGAAGGUGAUUUUUGAAGACUUCCGACACCUUCAAACAAAUCGUCAAAGGUACUAUGUUGAACAGAAGGUAAUCGUCGUAAAGGGGGAGACGAAGCAGAGGAAGUGGAGGACGAUAGCCUCCUAGGAUUGGCCGGAAUAUAUGAAGCUUUUAAAUUUGAAGGAGCCGCAUUACUUGCAUUUAUGCUAACUGGGGAAGUAGGUCCUGUGUUAACUGGAGGCUGCCAUCCAGGAGGACGAAGCCAUUCAGGUAAUGUCCCAAUUUUGUCCAUAUAGUAUUUUCUCAUUACACGAGCAACGUGAGUAUCUUCAAUCGUAUUAUCGCUUUCAGGGUCGCGAAUACGAUUAAUUUUUGAAGAAAUCGAUAACUUUGACCACAUGAUGAAUCGAGAGUUCGCGUUUCUUUAUGUACUACUUAAUCUCUAAAUUUUAAAGAACCUUGGCAUUUGAAUUCAAAAAAUUUCAAUAAAAGUAAUUAAUAAAAAAGUUUAGCCAUUAUUAUGAUGCCAAGAACGGCUUAAUAUCUGGCGACGCGGAUUUCAUAAAGACGCCAACUCGCUAAACUGUCUAAAGUGAUUAAUAACACGACCAUGAACUACAUUAUAUGUUUUAACGAAUGUAAAAUCAGCACAUAAAUAGAUAAUUUUAUUGCAAAUGUCCAAUUGAUUAAUAUCUUACAAAUAAAAAUAAUUUGUGGGUGGAUUUAAACAUUUAAUUUAGAUACUCUCGAAGAUGAUGCAUGAAAUCGGCUAAAAAAAAGAAUGAACGAUGAAAAGCUUGGUAAACAAAAUCAAUACUGAGCAAUCUUACUAUGUAGUAGCUAAUUAAGGUAUACAUAAUUUCUAAAUGGACUACGAAAAUGUAGUUUUAAAAUAGUUAGGUAAGUUUUAAUUUUACUACUUGUAGUC